rnacentral:rRNA from 1 species
UACAGAGGGUGCGAGCGUUUGUCCGGGAAUCACUGGGCGUAAGGGCGCGUAGGUGGUGGCUUAAGCGUGCGGUGAAAGCUCGGGGCUCAACUCCGAGUCGGCCGUGCGAACUGGGCUCACUGGAGCAUAGUAGAGGCAGGUGGAAUUCCGGGUGUAGCGGUGGAAUGCGUAGAGAUCCGGAAGAACACCGGGUGGCGAAGGCGGCCUGCUGGGCUAUGGCUGACACUGAGGCGCGACAGCGUGGGGAGCAAACAGG